GGAGAAUAACCUAAGAGAAGAAAAUCAGUCUGUGUGGAUUACUGGUUUACUACCUUAUAACCCAGUACUACUAUUUGAUUUCAACACCCAGGAAAGGCAUGUCAUUCUAUGACUGGUGGGAGCAGGAGCAAACAGUGAUUCUCCUGUGAAAUGCUACAGCCUCUUGGGAAAUUAAUCUGCCAUUUGUUCUAGCCUGCAGCAACAGGUACACAAACAGCAAGUCGAAAAAUCUGUCAGAUUUUUUUUGGACACAGCAUCGCUGUCCAAAAGAUUUUUGUGUGCUGAUGGAAACGGUCUAAAUCUGCACUGUCCGGUGGCAGCCACUAGCCCUGAGCAGCUAACAAGUGCCUAGAAAUGCAGGAGAUGCAACCGAGGAACUAAAUUAUCUAUUUUAUUGAGCUUUUGUUAAAUUUAAAUUUACAUAGCUACAAGUGCUUAGCAGCUAUCAUAUUGGACGCUCACCACAGAUCUGGAGACUUUUCAUUGAAUGAGACUUUCCAGAAGCUACAGGGAAUAUUUCAAAAGGCUGAAUGCAGUAGCAGAAAUAAGAUUCUAGGUGACUCCAAAAGACGGACGGAACAGAGAGGAUAAGAAAAAGACCAGCAUUCUACUUUUGGAUUCCUUCAUUGAGCAAAUAUUUAUUGAGCUUCUGAUCUGAGAUAGAGCAGACGGAGCAAUGUCUGAGUCAGACGCACAUUCCCGCUCGAGCUUGUGUUCUCAGCAGCGCUGUCCAAAUGAUACAGGAUGCAAUGACAUGAAAUUAGCUUUAAUAGUACAACCUAAACCAAAAUGUUGGGGCACCUGGGUGGCUCAGUUGGUUAAGCACCUGCCUUGGGCUCAGGUCGUGAUCUCAGGGCCCUGGGAUCCAGCCUGGCAUGGGUCACACUGCUCAGUAGGGAGCCUGCUUCUCCUUCU